CUGAUUUCUUUUCUUCAACUGAGCAAUCUUAAGUUGGAGCUUUUGUAGAGCUGCGGACUGUUGGCUCAAUGUGGCCCUUAGGUUUUGGCCGUGUAUCUCCUCCUCCAUUGCUUCCUGAAAACAAUCUCAAAGAAAAAGUGAAGGUAUGGAAAGUUUUGGUCUAACCAAAGUAAAACAAAUGCAAGAAUGCAAUUUAACUAAACCGAGAAAAUAUGCAAAUAUGAACCGAAAUGAAGUAACUAUACUAAAAAUGAUUUUUCUUUUGGUUUUCUGAAUGCAAGCACGAAAUGGACAACUAGAAAUGUAAUAAAUACUAUGGAAAGAAAUAUGAAAUGCAAAACUAACAAUGGUAUAUUUUUUUUGAAUUUUUUUUUUUUUAGGAUGAAAUGCAAAAACCGGAAAUGGAAACAAAUAUGUAUACUUGAACCCAAAAUGAUAUAAACUAAGCUGAAUGAUUUUUUUUUAUUUUUUUUUAUUUCAAAUAACAAACUUAUGAAACAAAUAUGGUAUGCACGAAAUUAAAAAAUGGUAUGACUUUUUAUUUAUUUAUUUUUAAGCAAGAAACAACUAUGAAAAUGCAGAUUUUUUUUUUUUUGAAAUGAAUGCACAAAAUCUAAAAAUGGAAAGUGGAGCUGGGGAAUGAAUGCAAACACGUUUUUCUUUUCUUUUUAUGGAUGAAAUGAAUCAAACUAGACAACAGGUCGUCUCCUAUCUCAAUUCUUUAUGGCUUUUCAAUUUAUGAUGAACAAAGAACACAAAAAUGCAAAAACAGUUUUUUUUUUUUUUUUUGAUUUAUAAAUGGAAAAACAAAUGCAAACAAGAUGAAUGAUGCAAGGAUAGAAUGGACCUGAUUCAGGAGCUUAAGCUCUGAUACCAAAUGUUGCAGGCUGGGAUUCAGGGUGGGCAAGAUGGAUGAUGGAAGCUUGGAUGGGUCGACCAAAGAGAUGAUCGGAUGGGCGAUAUGAUGGAAUGCAAGUUAUGAACCUGAAAACAAAUGC
rnacentral:lncRNA from 1 species